GACAGUGAGGAAUAUUGGUCAAUGGGCGCAAGCCUGAUCCAGCCAUGCCGCGUGCAGGAUGACGGUCCUAUGGAUUGUAAACUGCUUUUGUACGAGAAGAAACACUCCUUCGUGAAGGAGCUUGACGGUAUUGUAAGAAUAAGGAUCGGCUAACUCCGUGCCAGCAGCCGCGGUAAUACGGAGGAUCCAAGCGUUAUCCGGAAUCAUUGGGUUUAAAGGGUCCGUAGGCGGUUUAGUAAGUCAGUGGUGAAAGCCCAUCGCUCAACGGUGGAACGGCCAUUGAUACUGCUGGACUUGAAUUAUUAGGAAGUAACUAGAAUAUGUAGUGUAGCGGUGAAAUGCUUAGAGAUUACAUGGAAUACCAAUUGCGAAGGCAGGUUACUACUAAUAGAUUGACGCUGAUGGACGAAAGCGUGGGUAGCGAACAGGAUUAGAUACCCUGGUAGUCCACGCCGUAAACGAUGGAUACUAGCUGUUGGGAGCAAUCUCAGUGGCUAGCGAAAGUGAUAAUAUCCCACCGGCUAGACGGGG
rnacentral:rRNA from 1 species